rnacentral:rRNA from 1 species
GAUGAACGCUGGCGGCGUGCCUAAUACAUGCAAGUCGAGCGAACAGACGAGGAGCUUGCUCCUCUGACGUUAGCGGCGGACGGGUGAGUAACACGUGGAUAACCUACCUAUAAGACUGGGAUAACUUCGGGAAACCGGAGCUAAUACCGGAUAAUAUAUUGAACCGCAUGGUUCAAUAGUGAAAGACGGUUUUGCUGUCACUUAUAGAUGGAUCCGCGCCGCAUUAGCUAGUUGGUAAGGUAACGGCUUACCAAGGCAACGAUGCGUAGCCGACCUGAGAGAGUGAUAGGCCACACUGGAACUGAGACACGGUCCAGACUACUACGGGAGGCAGCAGUAGGGAAUCUUCCGCAAUGGGCGAAAGCCUGACGGAGCAACGCCGCGUGAGUGAUGAAGGUCUUCGGAUCGUAAAACUCUGUUAUUAGGGAAGAACAAAUGUGUAAGUAACUAUGCACGUCUUGACGGUACCUAAUCAGAAAGCCACGGCUAACUACGUG